AUAUAGUUGAAGUACUGAAGACAUUGGGAUCUUGAAGAUACCUUCACUCAACUUAAGGAGGAGGAGCUGGACGGGCCGGCUGCCACGGCGGCGGAGCGGGAGUAGAUGUAGUUCGUGCUACGACGACUGUCAUCGGACCCAUGGACAUUCGCAUCCACGACAUGAUCAUCAAGGGCAACACCAAGAUGCAGGUAAUCUGGGCAUGUCAUAAUCUCUGAUAUAUGAGGAAACAAAAGGUAAUUUCUUUCAUGGCCUUGCAAUAUUUGUUACCUGAUAUGUAUUGUAGUAUUUGACGAUACUUAUCAAUAGGAUCCCUAAUUAUGUUAGUUGUAUUUUAAUGGUUGCCUGCAAAGUUAGUUGUUCUGUUAUCAUCAUCUAAGUGUUUUGUUG
rnacentral:lncRNA from 7 species